rnacentral:rRNA from 1 species
ACGACUGCUGCUAAGACUGGAUAGGAAGAAAUAAGGCAUCUUAUUUCUUUUAAAAGACCUAGUAAUAGGUAUACUUUAGGAGGGGCUUGCGCCAUAUUAGUUAGUUGGUAGGGUAAUGGCCUACCAAGACGAUGAUGUGUAGCUGGACUGAGAGGUUGAACAGCCACAUUGGGUCUGAGACACGGCCCAAUCUCCUACGGGAGGCAGCAGUAAGGAAUUUUCGGCAAUGGAGGGAACUCUGACCGAGCAACGCCGCGUGAACGACGAAGUACUUUGGUAUGUAAAGUUCUUUUAUCAAGGAAGAAAAGCAAGUGGCGAACCAUUUGUUUGCCGGUACUUGAUGAAUAAGCCCCGGCUAAUUAUGUGCCAGCAGCCGCGGUAAGACAUAAGGGGCAAGUGUUAUCCGGAAUUAUUGGGCGUAAAGGGUGCGUAGGCGGUCAAGUAAGUCAGUGGUGUAAUGGCAACGCUCAACGUUGUCCGGCUAUUGAAACUGCUAAACUUGAGUUAGGUAGAGGCGAGUGGAAUUCCAUGUGUAGUGGUAAAAUGCGUAAAUAUAUGGAGGAACACCAGAGGCGUAGGCGGCUCGCUGGGUCUUAACUGACGCUGAGGCACGAAAGCGAGGGGAGCAAACAGGAUUAGAUACCCUGGUAGUCCACGCCGUAAGCGAUGAGUACUAAGUGUCGGGUUAAACCGGUACUGAAGUUAACACAUUAAGUACUCCGCCUGAGUAGUACGUACGCAAGUAUGAAACUUAAAGGAAUUGACGGGACUCCGCACAAGCGGUGGAUCAUGUUGUUUAAUUCCAAGAUACCCGAAAAACCUCACCAGGUCUUGACAUGUUUUUGCGAAACGGUAGUAAUAUCGUAGAGGUUAUCAGAAACACAGGUGGUGCAUGGCUGUCGUCAGCUCGUGUCCUGAGAUGUUAGGUUAAGUCCUAAAACGAGCGAAACCUUAUCGUUAGUUGCCAGCACGUUAUGGUGGGGACUUUAACGAGACUGCCAGUGAUAAACUGGAGGAAGGUGAG